rnacentral:rRNA from 1 species
AGUGAACGCUGGCGGCAGGCCUAACACAUGCAAGUCGAACGGCAGCACAGUAAGAGCUUGCUCUUACGGGUGGCGAGUGGCGGACGGGUGAGGAAUACAUCGUAAUCUACUUUUUCGUGGGGGAUAACGUAGGGAAACUUACGCUAAUACCGCAUACGACCUACGGGUGAAAGCAGGGGAUCUUCUGACCUUGCGCGAUUGAAUGAGCCGAUGUCGGAUUAGCUAGUUGGCGGGGUAAAGGCCCACCAAGGCGACGAUCCGUAGCUGGUCUGAGAGGAUGAUCAGCCACACUGGAACUGAGACACGGUCCAGACUCCUACGGGAGGCAGCAGUGGGGAAUAUUGGACAAUGGGCGCAAGCCUGAUCCAGCCAUACCGCGUGGGUGAAGAAGGCCUUCGGGUUGUAAAGCCCUUUUGUUGGGAAAGAAAAGCAGCAGGUUAAUACCCCGCUGUUCUGACGGUACCCAAAGAAUAAGCACCGGCUAACUUCGUG